AGAGCUGGGCACCGCACGGGGGCCGGAGCACAGCUCCUGGCCCCGCUGCGCGCUACCAGGGAGACUCCUUACGGUUCAGGAGUCCCACAGGGUACUGUUCUGAGGGUCAACGAAGCAGAGUUGUUGGGGGUCUAUCUGGAAUGGCUUCUCACCAACAUUCAUCCCCAGGGUAGUAGUACUGCACUCGCCUGAGAGACAACACACAAUCAAGAGAACAUACAUAGGUCUUGAGCUUCAGCAAAGGUGGUACUGGCCUGGCCUUCAGCUGUGAAUGGAAAUUAAGGUGGCAGGAGACUCAGGGCACAGGGUCUCUGAUCUCAGGGCAGCAGACCCCUUUGGCCACUAGGAAAGCCAUCUCCCCCUACAGAUCCUGAUGCUGAAUGAAGAUAAAGUCUAAUCUGAAGUAUGGUUCAGCUCCAGAGUGUUCUGAUAUAGGAAAGGGGCCUGAAGGUGCAGAAAUUAAGUCCCUUAUUGUAUUGGAGGAGAAAGAGAAGCCUUCUCAUCUUUCUGCAAUGUCUGUACUCUGGGUGAUACUCACCAAAGGGGAUCAGUGCUUUGUCCUUCCCACUCCCCCACCCUCAUGACAAGACAGACCACUGAAUGCUGCUAUUCGAAAAAGUGAAAAGGCAAUCUCUGAUAUGUGGAGAGACUUGCAAAGCAAAUUACCCAACAACAUCUGAUUUAAUUCUCAUAACACCCUUGACAUACAGGCUAAGGGAGUACUACCACCUCAUUUAUGAAUGAAGGUAUCAAACCUU